UACGGAGGAUCCAAGCGUUAUCCGGAUUUAUUGGGUUUAAAGGGUGCGUAGGUGGCUUAUUAAGUCAGGGGUGAAAGAGGCCGGCUUAACCGGCAAGGGUCAUUUGAAACUGUCAGACUAGAGUGCAGCAGAGGAUAGUGGAAUUCCCGGUGUAGUGGUGAAAUGCGUAGAUAUCGGGAGGAACACCAGUGGCGAAGGCGACUAUCUGGGCUGCAACUGACGCUGAGGCGCGAAGGCUAGGGUAGCAAACAGG
rnacentral:rRNA from 1 species